rnacentral:rRNA from 1 species
GGUGGUGCAUGGUUGUCGUCAGCUCGUGUCGUGAGAUGUUGGGUUAAGUCCCGCAACGAGCGCAACCCUUAUUCUUAGUUGCCAUCAUUUAGUUGGGCACUCUAAGGAGACUGCCGGUGACAAACCGGAGGAAGGUGGGGAUGACGUCAAAUCAUCAUGCCCCUUAUGACCUGGGCUACACACGUGCUACAAUGGACGAUACAAAGAGUCGCGAACUCGCGAGGGUAAGCUAAUCUCAUAAAAUCGUUCUCAGUUCGGAUUGUAGGCUGCAACUCGCCUGCAUGAAGCCGGAAUCGCUAGUAAUCGCGGAUCAGCAUGCCGCGGUGAAUACGUUCCCGGGUCUUGUACACAC